rnacentral:piRNA from 1 species
UNGCUACAUAGAAUGUUUGAGGUCAGCCUU